GCCGGGCAUGGUGGCUCAUGCCUGUAAUCCCAGCACUUUGGGAGGCUGAGGUGGGUGGAUCACCUGAGGUCAGGAGUUUGAGACCAGCCUGGCCAACAUGGUGAAACCCUGUCUCUA
rnacentral:SRP_RNA from 1 species